AUUGAACGCUGGCGGCAGGCCUAACACAUGCAAGUCGAACGAGUGGCGGACGGGUGAGUCAUGUCUGGGAAACUGCCCGCUGGAGGGGGAUAACUACUGGAAACGGUAGCUAAUACCGCAUACCAUCGGAUGUGCACAGAUGGGAUUAGCUAGUAGGUGGGGUAACGGCUCACAUAGGAGACGAUCCCUAGCUGGUCUGAGAGGAUGACCAGCCACACUGGAACUGAGACACGGUCCAGACUCCUACGGGAGGCAGCAGUGGGGAAUAUUGCACAAUGGGCGCAAGCCUGAUGCAGCCAUGCCGCGUGUAUGAAGAAGGCCUUCGGGUUGUAAAGUACUUUCAGCGAGGAGGCGUUACUCGCAGAAGAAGCACCGGCUAACUCCGUGCCAGCAGCCGCGGUAAUAC
rnacentral:rRNA from 1 species